GACGAACGCUGGCGGCGUGCUUAACACAUGCAAGUCGAACGGAAAGGCCCUGCUUUUGUGGGGUGCUCGAGUGGCGAACGGGUGAGUAACACGUGAGUAACCUGCCCUUGACUUUGGGAUAACUUCAGGAAACUGGGGCUAAUACCGGAUAGGAGCUCCUGCUGCAUGGUGGGGGUUGGAAAGUUUCGGCGGUUGGGGAUGGACUCGCGGCUUAUCAGCUUGUUGAUGGGGUAGUGGCUUACCAAGGCUUUGACGGGUAGCCGGCCUGAGAGGGUGACCGGCCACAUUGGGACUGAGAUACGGCCCAGACUCCUACGGGAGGCAGCAGUGGGGCAUCUUGCACCCUGGGCGGAAGCCUGAUGCAGCAACGCCGCGUGCGGGAUGACGGCCUUCGGGCUGUAAACCGCUUUCGCCUGUGACGAAGCGUGAGUGACGGUAAUGGGUAAAGAAGCACCGGCUAACUACGUG
rnacentral:rRNA from 1 species